UACGGGGGGGGCAAGCGUUGUUCGGAAUUACUGGGCGUAAAGGGCUCGUAGGUGGCCAACUAAGUCGGACGUGAAAUCCCUCGGCUUAACCGGGGAACUGCGUCUGAUACUGGAUGGCUUGAGUUCGGGAGAGGGAUGCGGAAUUCCAGGUGUAGCGGUGAAAUGCGUAGAUAUCUGGAGGAACACCGGUGGCGAAAGCGGCUCACUGGAUCGAUACUGACGCUGAGGUGCGAAAGCUAGGGUAGCAAACGGG
rnacentral:rRNA from 1 species